GGGCCUGUGGCGCAGCUGGUAGCGCACCUCGUUCGCAUCGAGGGGGUCAGGGGUUCGAGUCCCCUCAGGUCCACCC
rnacentral:tRNA from 1 species